UGGCGGAGUAAAAGAAGAAGAAGGGAGCGCAGAGCUGGAGUUAGCAGGGUGUCAUCGAGGUCUGUUGCCAUGGAGGACCAUGCUGACGUUGCCAUGGAGAACAAGACAGAGGUCCCAGCCUCCGACGCCCCGUCCUCUCCUGACAAAGAGCCGGCAAAGCCCGCUGCGCGUCAGCCACACCGCCGCACCUUAGGGAGGAGGGGCCAGAGAGCAAAAAGGCGGGGUCAUAUAGAGAAAAAGCGGGGUCAGAAAUCGAAGAGGCGGGGCCAGGAGGACAAGAAGGAGGGCGUGACGGUGAAGAGGACGUGGAGCGGCGGGAAGCGCCGUUGGGACAAGAAGCAUUACUGCGUGUUCUGCCGACGGCCACAGGUGAAGAUCGCACGCCACCUGCUGAGGAAGCAUGCCGACGAACAGGAAGUACUGGCUGCCAGCACCCUGCCGACAGGCUCCAAAGAACGCCACCUGCUGCUGGAGCACCUGCGCUGCCGAGGCAACUAUCUACACAACAUCGAGGUGAUCCGGCAGGGCACUGGUGAGAUUGUGCCAUGGCGUCAGCCCUCUGAGGAUGUGGAUGCGAGGAACUACCUGCCAUGCCCAUUGUGUCUUGGAUUUUUCCUUCGUGCUGACCUGUGGAAGCAUCAGGUGUCGUGUCGCAAGAAGCUCGCCAUCAACCCGUCCAAAGCCGAGGCAAACGCUGACCCCGCCAACGACGCCACCUCUGGUUCCACAAGUAAGUUGCCCUGUGAUGUCACCAGAGAGGACAUACCUGAGGAUUCCCUUGGUGAGACUGCAGAGACCGGGACCAAACAGCUUAUGACCUCUGACCCAAGUGUCGAUCAGAACACAACCUCUGACCCCGCUGUGAACCGAGCCAGGAAACGGACCAGAGUGCAGGCAGCAGCAUCGCGGCUCCUGCCGAUCUCCAGUGGAGCGUCUGAGAGCUGCAGUGAAAUCCUGCAUCGCAUGAACCAAGAUAAUGUGUCUUACGAGGUGAAGUCUGAUUGGCUGAUCUGUAAGUAUGGCAACAAGCUGAUGGGGAACCAGGAUAGUGGUCAGAGGAGGUACGACUACGUAAGCCAGAAGCUCCGGGAACUUGGCAGGUUGCUCCUGGCCGCUAAAUCCCUUGACUCCGGCGUCCAGAGCCUUCAGGACCUGCUGGCCCCAGGUCGCCUCAGCUUGGCGCUGUCCGCGGCCAGGAAGGCAGCGGGAAACAGGUGGAGCCGCCCUCCACUGGCGGUGAAAACAACACUAAAGACAGUCUGUGAGAUUGCUAUCGGAGAGAGCCUGCAGGACGGAGACUGGGAGGCUGCCGCCAAGACCACCGACUUCUACCACAUGCUGGGCCGGGAGUGGGACAACCUGGGCCUGCAGAACCCAGAUCCAGCUGCUACAGAUGGAGGAACUAAACCAAAGAAACGACCUGUCCAGAUAAGACUGGACAACGACCUCAGACAAGAAGUUCUGUCAAAGAGCUCUAACAAACCAGUGACCUCUGCGAUUCCACCUGAAGCCAGAAUGCAAACAUCUGUCUCAGUCCCUGUGGCUCCCAGGAAGGUCCGACGGCGGCCGUGGUCCUCUGCAGAGAAGGAGGCCAUCUGGAGGCAAUUAGGAGUCCAUGUUCUGGUCCAGUCCGUACCAGUGUUCCUGCUGUCCUCUCGUCUUGAUGUCCCUGCAGCUCCACUUUAUCACCACUAGAUGGCAGACUUCUCCCUGUUUUUGGUCCCUGUUAGAGGAUAAGAACAUGUUCCAGUCCAGACUGCAAGCUGCUGCUUUUUCCUCCACAUGUCGCAUUUCUGAUGUCCUGUAGAGUCGCUGAUCCACAGGUGAUCGAUCCACAGCUGUGUCCUGCAGGAGGAGCACCAGCUCAGACACUGGAUGGCAGCAGGAGGCUCUGUGUGUGUUUAAUGUGUAAUAAAAGUGUCUGUAACUGUCCGGUGAUGGAGCCCUGUCACGCUCGGUCCUUUUAUUUCAUUAUAUCUGUUUCAAUAAACGCGUCCCCGCUCUGUGACGGUUCAGACUCGUGUUCUUCAGGAGCUGUAACUGUUAAGAGUUAAAGGUCCCACCUGCACAGGUUAGGAUGAUGUGCGGAGCACAUGGAGACACAGAGGCUUUUAUUUAUGCACAGGAAACAGAAUUGUGUUAUUCAUUAUGAUGAGGAUGAUGAUGGUGUGGCAUUAAGAAACAUGCAGAAUAAUCAUGAUAAGACCAAGUUUCCACAGAGACGAGGUCUGCGUUUGGACCUCAGCACGGCUGUGAUAGAAGAAAGUUGGGUUUAAGUCACUGCAGCAUAAACACAUCAUAAAUAAACUGUGUUAAUAAAGCAGAACACGAGGACCUGUCUGCUCUACUGUGAAGUCGAUCUGCAGGUUCAAACACACCUGAGCUACUCCCAGAGAGGAUCCAGCCAAUCAUGUUUCUGGUUUGUGAUUGGCUGAGCGGUCGACAGCCGCCGUGGUUAAACAGACUCGGUCUGUCUGGACUUGCAUCAUCCUCUCAGCUGUCA
ensembl:lncRNA